CCAUGCCCCAGAUUGAAGUGAAAACCACGAAAUUGUGGUACUUUACAUUUUUCACAUUGGCAAAGCGACUCCUGAAGCCUCGGGAUAAACUCCGAUAAGAUUGCUUAAAAAUGUUAUUGCCACAAUGAGGAGUUGCAACCGAAAGCUGGAUUAGGC
rnacentral:sRNA from 1 species